CUGGCAGUCAGAGGCGAUGAAGGACGUGCUAAUCUGCGAAAAGCGUCGGUAAGGUGAUAUGAACCGUUAUAACCGGCGAUGUCCGAAUGGGGAAACCCAGUGCAAUUCGUUGCACUAUCGUUAACUGAAUACAUAGGUUAACGAGGCGAACCGGGGGAACUGAAACAUCUAAGUACCCCGAGGAAAAGAAAUCAACCGAGAUUCCCCCAGUAGCGGCGAGCGAACGGGGAGCAGCCCAGAGUCUGAAUCAGCUUGUGUGUUAGUGGAACGGUCUGGAAAGUCCGACGGUACAGGGUGAUAGUCCCGUACACCAAAAUGCACAGGCUGUGAACUCGAAGAGUAGGGCGGGACACGUGGUAUCCUGUCUGAAUAUGGGGGGACCAUCCUCCAAGGCUAAAUACUCCUGACUGACCGAUAGUGAACCAGUACCGUGAGGGAAAGGCGAAAAGAACCCCGGCGAGGGGAGUGAAAAAGAACCUGAAACCGUGUACGUACAAGCAGUGGGAGCACCUUCGGGUGUGACUGCGUACCUUUUGUAUAAUGGGUCAGCGACUUAUAUUCUGUAGCAAGGUUAACCGUAUAGGGGAGCCGCAGGGAAACCGAGUCUUAACUGGGCGUUAAGUUGCAGGGUAUAGACCCGAAACCCGGUGAUCUAGCCAUGGGCAGGUUGAAGGUUGGGUAACACUAACUGGAGGACCGAACCGACUAAUGUUGAAAAAUUAGCGGAUGACUUGUGGCUGGGGGUGAAAGGCCAAUCAAACCGGGAGAUAGCUGGUUCUCCCCGAAAGCUAUUUAGGUAGCGCCUCGUGAACUCAUCUUCGGGGGUAGAGCACUGUUUCGGCUAGGGGGUCAUCCCGACUUACCAACCCGAUGCAAACUACGAAUACCGAAGAAUGUUAUCACGGGAGACACACGGCGGGUGCUAACGUCCGUCGUGAAGAGGGAAACAACCCAGACCGCCAGCUAAGGUCCCAAAGUCAUGGUUAAGUGGGAAACGAUGUGGGAAGGCACAGACAGCCAGGAUGUUGGCUUAGAAGCAGCCAUCAUUUAAAGAAAGCGUAAUAGCUCACUGGUCGAGUCGGCCUGCGCGGAAGAUGUAACGGGGCUAAACCAUGCACCGAAGCUGCGGCAGCGACACUAUGUGUUGUUGGGUAGGGGAGCGUUCUGUAAGCCUGCGAAGGUGUGCUGUGAGGCAUGCUGGAGGUAUCAGAAGUGCGAAUGCUGACAUAAGUAACGAUAAAGCGGGUGAAAAGCCCGCUCGCCGGAAGACCAAGGGUUCCUGUCCAACGUUAAUCGGGGCAGGGUGAGUCGACCCCUAAGGCGAGGCCGAAAGGCGUAGUCGAUGGGAAACAGGUUAAUAUUCCUGUACUUGGUGUUACUGCGAAGGGGGGACGGAGAAGGCUAUGUUAGCCGGGCGACGGUUGUCCCGGUUUAAGCAUGUAGGCUGAUUGUCCAGGCAAAUCCGGAUAAUCAAGGCUGAGGUGUGAUGACGAGGCACUACGGUGCUGAAGUAACAAAUGCCCUGCUUCCAGGAAAAGCCUCUAAGCAUCAGGUAACAUUAAAUCGUACCCCAAACCGACACAGGUGGUCAGGUAGAGAAUACCAAGGCGCUUGAGAGAACUCGGGUGAAGGAACUAGGCAAAAUGGUGCCGUAACUUCGGGAGAAGGCACGCUGGUGUGUAGGUGAAGUCCCUGCGGAUGGAGCUGAGACCAGUCGAAGAUACCAGCUGGCUGCAACUGUUUAUUAAAAACACAGCACUGUGCAAACACGAAAGUGGACGUAUACGGUGUGACGCCUGCCCGGUGCCGGAAGGUUAAUUGAUGGGGUUAUCCGUAAGGAGAAGCUCUUGAUCGAAGCCCCGGUAAACGGCGGCCGUAACUAUAACGGUCCUAAGGUAGCGAAAUUCCUUGUCGGGUAAGUUCCGACCUGCACGAAUGGCGUAAUGAUGGCCAGGCUGUCUCCACCCGAGACUCAGUGAAAUUGAACUCGCUGUGAAGAUGCAGUGUACCCGCGGCAAGACGGAAAGACCCCGUGAACCUUUACUAUAGCUUGACACUGAACAUUGAGCCUUGAUGUGUAGGAUAGGUGGGAGGCUUUGAAGCGUGGACGCCAGUCUGCGUGGAGCCAACCUUGAAAUACCACCCUUUAAUGUUUGAUGUUCUAACGUUGGCCCCUUACCGGGGUUGCGGACAGUGUCUGGUGGGUAGUUUGACUGGGGCGGUCUCCUCCCAAAGCGUAACGGAGGAGCACGAAGGUUAGCUAAUCCUGGUCGGACAUCAGGAGGUUAGUGCAAUGGCAUAAGCUAGCUUGACUGCGAGCGUGACGGCGCGAGCAGGUGCGAAAGCAGGUCAUAGUGAUCCGGUGGUUCUGAAUGGAAGGGCCAUCGCUCAACGGAUAAAAGGUACUCCGGGGAUAACAGGCUGAUACCGCCCAAGAGUUCAUAUCGACGGCGGUGUUUGGCACCUCGAUGUCGGCUCAUCACAUCCUGGGGCUGAAGUAGGUCCCAAGGGUAUGGCUGUUCGCCAUUUAAAGUGGUACGCGAGCUGGGUUUAGAACGUCGUGAGACAGUUCGGUCCCUAUCUGCCGUGGGCGCUGGAGAAUUGAGGGGGGCUGCUCCUAGUACGAGAGGACCGGAGUGGACGCAUCACUGGUGUUCGGGUUGUCAUGCCAAUGGCACUGCCCGGUAGCUAAAUGCGGAAGAGAUAAGUGCUGAAAGCAUCUAAGCACGAAACUUGCCCCGAGAUGAGUUCUCCCUGAGACUUUAAGUCUCCUGAAGGAACGUUGAAGACGACGACGUUGAUAGGCCGGGUGUGUAAGCGCAGCGAUGCGUUGAGCUAACCGGUACUAAUGAACCGUGAGGCUUAACCUUACAACGCCGAAG
rnacentral:rRNA from 1 species